CACGUUGAAACACCGGUUCCUGUACGAUCUCCGAGGUUAAGCAACUAGGUCAGUACCUAGAUGGGUGACCUCUUGGGAAAACCAAAUGUUGUA